AUUAUAGACAAGAAAUUAGACUGGAAGGGAACCAGACAUCUUUGUUACCCAACAGCAUUGCUGUUAGGUUGGAAUUGAUUGAAGUUAAAUGAAAAAACAAAAACAAAAAACCAAACUUUUAGAAGCAGAUGGCCCUUUACUAGAACAAUGAACAUAGCACUCAGUACAUAGGUGUGGAGACUGUGUGCCAAGGCAGAUGUUCUCAUCAAUAUAUGGAGUCAGAAGUUUCUAAGUUCAUUUGAGGUUCCGUAUUAAGUCAUGGAUUCUUCAUCGCAGACCCUGACAGCGUCAAACGGAACUGAGAGAUGUAUUCAUCUGGCUGCUUUCCGCUGAGUCGGGGCAAAGCUGGAACGUUUUAAAAGGAUCAUCUGUAAAAAGUUUAAAAGACAGGGCAAAAAUGGACCAUAUGCCAGAGUCCUGUAGAAAGAUAAGGCCAGUCAAAGAUGUGGUCAUCAGGAGAGGUCUUGUGUGUGGGAGUAAUCUCUACUUCCUCUAGUCUUUCUUGUGUACCAGACAUUCCAUCUAUGUGAAGACUGGACACUGCUUAGAAAUCAUCAGAUGGGGUCUCCACGGCCUCUCAGAGCAAGACAGCAGAUUAUAGCGCAGGUGGAACUAUUCAGACCAAGAAUAUGACUGAGGAUCCCUGGAGCUAUUAGGCAGACCAAGUAAGACUUCAGAGAUGCUGCUUACCUGUCCCUCACCCAUCUUGAUCCACGGAUAGGUCGUAAUGAUUUUGCAGGAAAAAGAAGCUGCAGGCGGUGUGAGGUGGGAAAGGGGUGAAAUAUGACAGAAUACAAAAUGAUUUUCCACUGAGGAGUGCUGCCUGACGUGAUGUAUGAUCAGGAGCCACCAGAUGAGUCUUACAGACUUAGGAACCUCAAGCUACAUUGAUGUGAAUUGUUAGAACACCUGGAUAUCGUCAGAAUGAAGCUGAAGUUGCCUCUGGGGUUGGGUGGGAGGAAUAAACUUUAAAUAUCGUCCUUAAGGAGGUCUGAAAGCUAUUGUCUGCACACCUGGCCAUCAAGCUAUGCUAUGCACACCUGGUCUUCAAGCUAUGAUCUGAACAUCUGGCUGUCACGCUACGAUCUGAACACACAGCCAUCGAGCUAUGCUCUGCACACCUGGUAAUGGUAGGAUGGAGCCAUCAGGCAUUCCAGAAAGGGGCCGGUGAUAUGCUCCAUGAGUGACCCACCUGACUGUCUACACAGCUCUGGAGGUGAUCAUUCAAUUGUCUUCAUAGCUCCAGAAGUGACCUACCCAACUGUCUACGCAGCUCCGAGAGUGGAUUCUCACCUCUGGAUUGCACCUAAAACCGAAAGAAGGGAUUCAAAGAAGUUGUAUGUCAGUGUGGCCGUGACAAGCAGUAGCCACCAAAUCCUAAUGGCAAGAAUGCCUGGCAAGGCAGACCGGAUUGCACUGGUAUGUUUUUGACACAAGCUGUAUGAUUUCCCUACUUCUGUUGUGUUCUGGCCUCAGGGCUGCAGCCAUG
rnacentral:lncRNA from 1 species